GCCCUUCUCUGAAGUUUCCAAGAAUCCUCAGGGCAAGCAGAGAGAGGGAAAGAAAACUCUGUUUAUGGAGUCCUGCACUUUCUGGGCUGCUGCUCCUUCACGCCUGUUUUCUGUUCUGCUCUGAUUGAUGCCAGUGUUUUGGCUACUUAGAAUUUUUAAAAUUUACUCAAACCACCCACAAUUCACACAGAGGACAUACAGGAACACAGGCUGCAAGAGUCCCAAGGCCAGGAACAAGAGGAGUGCUAGAAGGGACUUCUGUCAUUCAAUGGGAUGGACGAUUCGAACCACCAAUAAAGGGUACAUUCUCGUA
rnacentral:lncRNA from 1 species